GGUCCUCUCUGCUCUGGUGGGCGUGGCUACUGUCAUUCUUCUGGUUUAUGACAUCAGAUCCAGAAGAGCUGAACAACAUCAAGCACAUAUUCACACAUCAGGAAGAAUUGAAAUCUAAAGCAGAACGCUGAACUUUAAAGGUUCUUCAAGUGUGUUUUUUGUUCUUCUAAUGUUUUUUUUCAUAAUAAAUACUGAUGAUUGUUUAA